rnacentral:lncRNA from 1 species
AUGUAUACACAGUACUUGAAUGUAUUGAGAGCCAUAUAUUUAUGGAAUAAAUGGCUCUGUAUGUAUGGAUACUCGUUUCAAUAUAAACACACAAUGAUAUGGGAAACAUUUAUUGCUGCCUCUGGCAAGAAAAAAACCAAGUUAUUACACAGUUUGGAAGAAACCAUUUUGAAAUCCCUUUUUAACGAACAACGAACGCACAGUGUAGCGGCUGGUUUAGCGCGUGAGAAGAACACACUCCACCCUGGCAACGCGUCCUCCCCUAUCGUUAUAGGCAUGCUCAGCAGAAGGGGAACUGCAACCGCCGCGCCGAACAUCUUCCAGGGAUGGCUUCUGCUGAGCCGUUGUGCUCCAGUUUCUACCACCAGCACUGCGCUUAAGGAACAAAAUAAACACCUUCGCCCUCCUGCUGCCAAGACAGACACACACCACCAUGUACAGCGUGGAGGACCUCCUCAUUUCUCACGGAUACAAACUUCCCAAGACAAGCAUCCCCUGCCCCUCUUCAACUUCAUCCGCCACCGCGCCUUACGAGAAGCAGCGCCACGCCGCCGCCGAUUGCCACCGUGAAAUCCCAGCAGCAGAGAACCAGAGAUCUGGUCGUGGUGGAUCACUGAACGGGAAUGAACAGGCGGGAGACAGAGGGGCCUGCGUCUUCAGCAGCAGCAGGCAGGCACUACUGGCGAAGGGCUACCCCGGCAGCUGCGACAAUGAGAGCGGCGGGGAAAGGAACCAAAGGAGAAAAGAAGCUGUCAGCGGUAACCUAGGUGACAGCCUCGCACAGCCCCUGGGCGAUUCUCUCGCCACGGAUAGCGGGUGAGUUUUUUUUCUCUUUCUCUCUCUUUUGAGAUCCCCACCAUACCUUCCCUCCUUUUUUUUUGUUUUGCCGGGCCCUUCGGCAUUGCAUGCAAAUCCAAGCCAAUCAGUCUACACUGCGCAGGAGGAUGUGUUUUCUUUCUUUCCGUUUCCUUCCAGAGCUGCAGAACGAACACUGAGACUGCUGCACCACUUCCUUGUCUUUCCAGAUGCUGCGGUACAAUGAAGUUUGUGCUCCAAAUGCCACACUGUUCCCUAUAUAGUACACUACUUAUAGGGAUUAGGGUUCCAUUUGGUCAAAAGACGUGCACUGUAUAAGACAGUAGUCACCAACCUUUUCUGAGUCAAGAUCACUUUCCCAGUCAAAAAGCAAGACGAGAUCUACCACUCAGAUAAAAAAAAAAUCAACAUGACUUCAAAAAUGUAACAUUUAACCUAUUAAAAACUAUUCUGUAGGAUUGAGGUUUGUGCAGUAGGUCUAAAACAUUAUCAUAGCAUAUAGGCAAAUGCCUGUCCAGCCAAUAUUGUUAUUCUCAGGCCAUAUUUCAAAACUCGAGCUUUGAUAACAAAAUAGAUCAGUUGGUGUAGCACUUGCGAGGCACUGUGGAGCAUAAAUUGAAAUAAUUUGCUUGUUUAUUUCACUGGACUGAUGGUACCUGCAUCUGAUGGUCAUGGUGCUUUCAAGACAACUGGGAACUUGAAAAAAAGAGAGAGGUCAAAUCAUGACGUCAGUGAUCAUCAGGUUGGAAAGUUGGCAGUCUAGAAAGAUGCCAGAGUUUCCUACUUGGAUUUCCGAGUUCAAAAAGACGUUCUCAGUC